UUGUUACGCCACGGCCAGCAGAUGGCACUGUGGCAUGACUCCGGACUGGUCACAUGACUUUGUUUUGUUUUCAUUCGCUUUCUGCCCGAGUUCUAGUUUCUGUUUGAGGAUGUCCUUGAUUUAACCCAGGUGUCUUUGGUUUAGAUUAAUUAUGUUGGGUAUUUAAACCCCUCGGGUCUAUGCGCACGUGGCGCGAUAUUGUUUGUAGCGGAGAUACCUUUGUGAGACGCAUCAGCCUUAACGGUGUGACAGCUAAGUUUAGCAUGCUAAGCGGUCUUUGUUUUCAUGUCCUGUUUCCUGCCUCGACUCUGGCCUCAUGUUUUCUUGCUAACUCCGUAUAGGCCUGUUUGUUUAAUUGAUUUAUUAAUAAAGACAGUGCUCCUGCACUUACUUCCUGUCUAUCCCUCUGUUUCGUAACACCUUUGAUCAAAAUCUGACGUUUUUGUCUUAAAUAUAUGACUUAUUUAUGAGUCAUUUACUUCAAAGUCUGUAUAUAAACAGCAGUUCUAGCAAUACAUUUAUGAACCCCUUCUUGUGUAUAAAUAAAGGAGAGACCGUGUUGACGUAUUUGUUUAUAAUGUGGUAUAUUUUACAUAUUCAACAUAUGAAACCAUUUAUGAAAUAAAAUUAGCGCAGCGUUUUUGUAAAAAAAAACAAACAAACAAACAAAAAAAAACCCACUUGUUUGCUGGGUUAAAAUUAACAACCCAACUUGAUGGGUUAGUUUAACCCAAAAUGUGUUCUGUCCUAUAAUUACCCAACUGUUGGGCUAAAAAUACCCCACUUUGAGAUGUUUUUAACCCGGUGUUUUUGAGAGUAGGACAGCAGGGACGUUGUGAAUGUGUGUGCUUAAUAAAAACCAUUAAGUAAUUAUUCAAUAAGAUAUCUGCAUCUGAUCUUGUUUUUAAUCCUUCUUUUGUCUGUGUCGAAUAUCCCCCCCCCCCCAAAAAAAACAAAAAACAAAAAACAAAACAAAAAAAAAAAAAAAACACCAACUUAUUAGUACAUUAAAGAGUAUAAAUUUAGUUUAGCCCAAAAUGUGUUCUUUCCUAUAUUUACCCAGCCAUUGGGUUAAAAAUAACCCAAUUUGGAUAUAAACGGGGUAUAUAACCAGUUACUAUGUAUAGCUGGCAAUGUUUCAUAAAAUAAACACACACCAAACAAUGCAAUAAUUUAUUGAUAACAAAUAAUCAUUCAUACCCAAAACAAUGGAGUUCUUCAGCAACAUUUAGCAGAAUGGUUGCCAAUCAGCGCACAGAUGCAGCAAGACACGUUAACUUGGAGAAACGAUACGGAACUGUAAUGCAGUCAAGGCCUGACUGGAACUACUUCAGCUGUGCAUUUACUGAAAAAUAAUUGCACACCUCAGAACGUCUGUCAGCCAAUCAGAAUUGAGAACAGAGCUGCGGUAUAAACUUGGUUACAGUCCAGUCCAAAGUUUACAGGAACAUUUUAUCUGCAGAUUUACAGAGAAAUGCAUCCGAAUGAAUCAGGAGGAACUUCAUCAUGCAGCAAGACUACGAUCCAAAACACACUUCCACCUCAACACAGGACUUCAUCAGGGGGAAAGUGGAAGGUUUCAGACUGGACAAGUCCAUCACCAGACCUUCACCCAACUGAUCAUCUCACCUCCUGAAGAGGAGACUGAAGGGAGAAACCCCCGAAACACACAACUACUGAAAGAAGCUGCAGGAAAAACCUGGAGAAGCUUCACAGAAGAAGAAACCAGCAGUUUUGAUGUUUCUAUACUUUUGCUUGCCUUUUGAAUGGUCUGAUACAAAAGCUUCUAUGUCUUAUGUUGUUUAAUACGUGUAGAUGUAAAUAGAUGUAAAUAAAAGCUGAAAUCCUAAACUCUCAAAAAAAAAGAACAAAAAAAAAGCUGUGAUCUAUCUGUUAUAAUUAAGAUCUAGGCACUCCAAAUGCAAACUUUAUUAGUACAUAACAUCUUACCUUUUAACUACGUACAUUUUUAAGUAGAAUAAAAUGUUCAUUUUGCACGUUUGUACAACAAGGAACAAUUAAUGUAAAUAAAACAUGCACAGCACUGAACAAAUCUGUUCAGCUGUAUUAAAUACAUGAUUUAUUCAUGGUAAGAGCGAGCUCGACUAUUUAAUCAGUUCAAUGUGAACAGUUUGAAAAUAUUCUAAAUGCAUGGAAAGAUAAAGGAACUGAACUGUCAGGAAUACUGAUGUAUGUAUGUUCAAUAUGUCCGAGGCGGAUUUACUGUGUCAUUUUAAAAUAAAUAUGAAAGCUAACAAAAAGAAUAUUGUCAAACGGACUGUUUCUGGAGGCUGAACCCAAAAAACGUAAACGUGUCUUGUAAACCAAAAUAUUUCAAUCAAUAAAAUGAAAUGCUCUGGAGUCGUGGCAGUUUAUGAAUAGGAGUUUAACAUAACGGAAAUUGCAAAUUACUGAAAUGCACAGUAGGUACUGUGAUGUAUAUAUCCCCUGUGAUGCAUUUCUGCAUUAUGGACCUCACCUAAAUUUAUAUCCUUGUUACAGUCCUGCUUGGCAUCCAGUGUACACCUAUUCAAGUGGGGAUGUGGGCAUGAUCUAGACUGGGUGGUGUUAGGGUGUUUUUAAUGUAGACAGCACCACCAUGCAUUGAGACAACUGGAAAACUCAUGCAUCAUCAUUUCUACAGUAACAGCUCAUUCCCAGGGACACACGAACACUCCACAUUUAAAGAUGCGUGUAAUCGCUUUUACGGUGAAGUUUUCUGUAAGGAGACAUUGUAA